rnacentral:misc_RNA from 1 species
GAAAUGCGAUAAGUAAUGUGAAUUGCAGAAUUCAGUGAAUCAUCGAAUCUUUGAACGCACCUUGCGCUCCUUGGUAUUCCUUGGAGCAUGCCUGUUUUAGUAUCAUGAAAUCUUCAAAGUAAAUCUUUUGUUAACUCAAUUGGUUUCUACUUUGGUAUUGGAGGUCUUUGCAGCUUCACACCUGCUCCUCUUUGUUCAUUAGCUGGAUCUCAGUGUUAUGCUUGGUUCCACUCGGCGUGAUAAGUUAUCUAUCGCUGAGGACACUGUAAAAGGUGGCCAAGUUAAAUGCAGAUGAACCGCUUCUAAUAGUCCAUUGACUUGGACAAUACUUUUAUGAUCUGAUCUCAAAUCAGGUAGGACUACCCGCUGAACUUAAGC